GUGCUGGCUUUGGCAGCACAUAUACUAAAAUUGGAAUGCUACAGAGAAGAUUAGUAUUGCCCCUGUGCAAGAAUGGCAUGCAAAUUCAUGAAAUGUCCCAUAUUUUU